CUUUGGUUUCUGUGCUAAGAUGGGCGUACAUUAGGGUUAUCAUGCCCUUGGGGGUCCUUUCGUGAAGGCAUAGUUUCUCGUAGAACGUCAUAUUUCCCUGAGCUGCAGCCUUUAUGUGUGGUUUCCUAGCGAAGUCUCGAAUUUGUAUAUAUCUAAAGAAAUCUGCGGGAGUUAGGUGGUUAUCUUGUUGGAGGUCCGUAAAUUGGAUUAAGUUCCCAUUAUGAUAUAAUUGAUGGAUCCGUUGUAGACCCGUUCUCUCCAAGUUUCGGAAAUCUUUAGGGGCCAUACCGGGUUGGAACUCUCUAUUUCUUAGAAUUGGAGUCAAUGGAGAGGGGGAGGUCGCCAGUCCGUACUUGGUUCUGUUUUUGUCCCAGAUUUGGAGCGAAUUAAGUAUGGACGGGCAAGUCACCCGUAUCAAGGGUCGAUAGUCUUUCGGGAUCCACAUAGUGAACUGGGGGAUGUCCCAUCCCACCAUCAUGGAUUCUAUUUCGACCCAUCUCCGCUCUUCCGGAGGGGAAUGCCACAUAGCUAUCUGUGUUAGUUGGGCUGCAAGAUAAUAGAAGUAUAGAUUUGGGAGGCCCAGUCCCCCUCUUUCUUUUCGUCUGUAGAGUAUCUGUCUUGAUAUCCUGUGCCUCUUGUUCUGCCAUAUGAAGUCAGCUAUCGACCGUUGAAGUGGGUUCAGUUGUGCUUUGGUGACAUGAAUUGGGAGAGCUUGGAAUAAGAAUAAAAUCCUCGGGAGGACGUUCAUUUUAACAGAGUUAAUUCGUCCUAUCCAGGAGAUAGGUUUAUCAGACCACCUUUCUAAGUCUCCUAUCAACUUCCUAAUUAGGGGGCCAUAGUUCUCGGAGUAGAGGUGUGUCG